CAUUUUGUCUGAGUAACGCUUGUAUGCUUCCACGGUUAUCACUGAAACAAAAGAAAAAAAAAAAGCAUGCCACCCUAUGAAAUUUGCCUCUCUACUGCUGCUGUCAGCGUGACAUCUGCACCUGACUGAAGGUUCAUCCAAGUCUGUCUUCCACACAGCUCCAUCCCAGUGCCAAAAAGAAACACGUACAGAGAUGCUUAGAAGAUUCUUUGUGCAGAUACAAGUGCAGGGUGCAUGUGUAUUCCCUACAGCAAGAAACAUUAAUUUCUCAAGCAGUAGUAGGAAAGGUCAAUGACAAGGAAAUAGAUGAUGAACCCCUUUCAUGGAAGAAGUCCUUGCUAAGCCUCUCCCCAUCAAAAAGGAAGCCUCCGGGCAUUGUUAGCAGCAGUGCCCAGAACAUCUUGCACCACAAAAUGCAGCACACUCCUUUUUUUCCACAGGCCCUCAUUUCUCUAAUUGGCAUCAGAUUCACUCCAGUUCAAAUACACGGAUCAGAACAGCCCUUCAGUUUGGCUGAGGUAGGAACCCGCUGCUGGGAUGUCCCCCAGUCCCGUUCCCCACUAUGUCCAGCACUGGUGGGGAAAGGAAGAGCAACGGACAUCACCUACCCAGGCAUCUGCAGGGCUUUCCAUACGGUCUCACAUCGCAGGUAGAAGCGGGAGAGCUCUCGUGGCACAGAGUGCACUUUGGCCGCAAUAACCCCAGGCAACGCUACAGGCUUGGGGCAGAGUGCCUGAAAGACUGUGUAGAGGAAAUGGACCUGGGGGCGUUGAUUGACGCUAGACUGAACACUGCCAGCAGUGUGCCCAGGCGGCCAAGAAGGCCAACGGCAUCCGGGCUUGUAUCAGAACUAGUGUGGCCAGCAGGAAUAGGGACGCGAUUGUCCCCCUGUACUCAGCACUGGUGAGGCCCCACCUC
rnacentral:lncRNA from 1 species